CCUACGGGGGGCAGCAGUGAGGAAUAUUGGGCAAUGGGCGCAAGCCUGAACCAGCCAAGUCGCGUGAGGGAUGACGGUCCUAUGGAUUGUAAACCUCUUUUGUCGGGGAGCAAGGCCCGCUACGUGUGGCGGGAAGGAGAGUACCCGAAGAAAAAGCAUCGGCUAACUCCGUGCCAGCAGCCGCGGUAAGACGGAGGAUGCGAGCGUUAUCCGGAUUUAUUGGGUUUAAAGGGUACGUAGGCGGAAGGUUAAGUCAGCGGUAAAAUGUCGGUGCUCAACACCGGCCUGCCGUUGAAACUGGUCUUCUUGAGUGAGCGAGAAGUAUGCGGAAUGCGUGGUGUAGCGGUGAAAUGCAUAGAUAUCACGCAGAACUCCGAUUGCGAAGGCAGCAUACCGGCGCUCAACUGACGCUGAGGCACGAAAGCGUGGGGAUCGAACAGGAUUAGAUACCCGAGUAGUA
rnacentral:rRNA from 1 species